rnacentral:tRNA from 1 species
GUGGUCGUGGCUCAAGGGAAGAGCGCCGCACUGUGACCGCGGAGAUUGCGGGUUCGAGUCCCGUCGGCCACC